rnacentral:rRNA from 1 species
CAGCAGCCGCGGUAAUACGUAGGUGGCAAGCGUUGUCCGGAUUUAUUGGGCGUAAAGCGAGCGCAGGCGGUUUCUUAAGUCUGAUGUGAAAGCCCCCGGCUCAACCGGGGAGGGUCAUUGGAAACUGGGAAACUUGAGUGCAGAAGAGGAGAGUGGAAUUCCAUGUGUAGCGGUGAAAUGCGUAGAUAUAUGGAGGAACACCAGUGGCGAAGGCGGCUCUCUGGUCUGUAACUGACGCUGAGGCUCGAAAGCGUGGGGAGCAAACAGGAUUAGAUACCCCGGUAGUCCCUGUCUCUUAUAC